UGCAUAUUCACAAAGCGGAGGAAAAGAAACUAACAAGGAUUCCCCUAGUAACGGCGAGUGAAGCGGGAAGAGCUCAAAUUUGAAAUCUGGUAGCCUUCGGCUGCCCGAGUUGUAAUCUAGAGAAGUGUUUUCCGUGCCGGCCCAUGUACAAGUCCCUUGGAACAGGGCGUCAUAGAGGGUGAGAAUCCCGUCCUUGACAUGGACCCCCGGUGCUUUGUGAUACACUUUCAACGAGUCGAGUUGUUUGGGAAUGCAGCUCAAAAUGGGUGGUGAAUUCCAUCUAAAGCUAAAUAUUGGCGAGAGACCGAUAGCGAACAAGUACCGUGAGGGAAAGAUGAAAAGCACUUUGGAAAGAGAGUUAAACAGUACGUGAAAUUGUUGAAAGGGAAACGAUUGAAGUCAGUCAUGCUCUUUGGAUUCAGCCGUUCUGCGGUGUAUUUCCAUUGAGUGGGGUCAACAUCAGUUUUGAUCGCUGGAUAAAGGCACUAGGAAGGUAGCACUCUCGGGUGAACUUAUAGCCUAGCGUCAUAUACAGUGAUUGGGACUGAGGAACGCAGCAUGCCUUUAUGGCCGGGAUUCGUCCACGUACAUGCUUAGGAUGUUGACAUAAUGGCUUUAAACGACCCGUCUUAA
rnacentral:rRNA from 1 species